rnacentral:rRNA from 1 species
AUGGUCGCCACGUCGAUCCCCUUCGCUUAUAACUGCGCCAACGCGAACCCUAGGUUGCCCUCGUCCAUUCCCCCCUCUUUCCCCGUCGCCCCCUUCUUUCGCUCGAAUUCGAGCUUGGAAACUCUCACGGUGACCGUGCUCGUCAUCGUCAUUACCGCGACCACCGUCGUCGCCUUCGUGUGGGAGGACGUCCAGGAGGCCCGCCACGGACGUCUUCAUCUGUCCCGAGCACGGAACAGAGCCGAGGUGGCCCGUGCGCUCGCCAUCGAGGCAGUCUUCGUUUGUACGUCGUCGUCAUCCGUCAUCGAUUACCGCCGUUCCGGUCAACCCCGACUCUCCCCGACCUCACCAUCGGCAUCACAGAGUCAGAGGAUCCCGAGGAUGUUUCUUCAUGGAGUUCGGCUUCGAGGAGUAGUUAGGAGGUCCCAGGGAGGAGGCCUCGCCUUUUCGAUCGUUGCUACUUUUGUGUUAGCCUUCUUAAGGCAAACUUGCUUCACGUAUGUCUGUACUCAGAUAUUAUUGCUUCCGCUGACUCUUGUGCAUUCGAGCUUAUGUAUUCGAGCCCUCGAGGCCCCUGGCUUGUAA